UACGUAGGGUGCGAGCGUUAAUCGGAAUUACUGGGCGUAAAGCGUGCGCAGGCGGUUUUUCACGUCAGAUGUGAAAUCCCCGGGCUCAACCUGGGAAUGGCAGUUGGGACGGCAAGGCUUGAGUGCGGCAGAGGAGACUGGAAUUCCUGGUGUAGCGGUGAAAUGCGUAGAUAUCAGGAGGAAUACCGAUGGCGAAGGCAGGUCUCUGGGCUGACACUGACGCUCAGGCACGAAAGCGUGGGGAGCAAACAGG
rnacentral:rRNA from 1 species